CAGUCGAGCGGCAAGGGCCUUCGGGCCCCUAGAGCGGCGGACGGGUGAGUAACACGUGGACAAUCUGCCCCCCGGCCGGGGAUAGCCCAGGGAAACCUGGAUUAAUACCGGAUGAGACGGGACCCGCGAUGGCGGGAUCCGGGAAAGGCGCUACGGCGCCGCCGGGGGAUGAGUCUGCGUCCCAUUAGCUAGACGGCGGGGUAACGGCCCACCGUGGCGACGAUGGGUAGCCGGCCUGAGAGGGUGGACGGCCACAUUGGAACUGAGACACGGUCCAGACUCCUACGGGAGGCAGCAGCUAAGAAUCUUCCGCAAUGGGCGAAAGCCUGACGGAGCGACGCCGCGUGAACGAAGAAGGCCGUGAGGUUGUAAAGUUCUUUUCGGGAGGGGGAACAACCGUGGCAGGGAAUGGCCGCGGGAUGACGUGAAUCCCGGAAUAAGCCCCGGCUAACUACGUGCCAGCAGCCGCGGUAACACGUAGGGGGCGAGCGUUGUUCGGAAUCAUUGGGCGUAAAGGGCGUGCAGGCGGUCCUGCAAGUCCGGCGUGAAAGACCCCGGCCCAACCGGGGGGACGCGCUGGAAACUGCGGGGCUUGAGUACAGGAGGGGAUGCCGGAAUUCCAGGUGUAGGGGUGAAAUCUGUAGAUAUCUGGAAGAACACCAAUGGCGAAGGCAGGCAUCUGGCCAUGUACUGACGCUGAGACGCGAAGGUGCGGGGAGCAAACAGGUUUAGAUACCCUGGUAGUCCGCACAGUAAACGAUGUGCACCAGGUGGCGGGGG
rnacentral:rRNA from 1 species